CCUACGGGAGGCAGCAGUGGGGGAUAUUGCACAAUGGGGGGAACCCUGAUGCAGCGACGCCGCGGGGGUGAAGAAGCGCCUCGGCGCGUAAAGCCCUGUCAGCAGGGAAGAAAAUGACGGGACCUGAAGAAGAAGCCCCGGCUAACUACGUGCCAGCAGCCGCGGUAAUACGUAGGGGGCAAGCGUUAUCCGGAUUUACUGGGUGGAAAGGGGGCGCAGACGGCGUUGCAAGCCAGGAGUGAAAGCCCGGGGCCCAACCCCGGGACUGCUCUUGGAACUGCGUGGCUGGAGUGCAGGAGGGGCAGGCGGAAUUACUGGGGUAGCGGUGAUAUGCGUAGAUAUCAGGAGGAACACCGGUGGCGAAGGCGGCCUGCUGGACUGCAACUGACGUUGAGGCCCGAAAGCGUGGGGAGCAAACAGGAUUAGAUACCCUGGUAGUC
rnacentral:rRNA from 1 species